rnacentral:rRNA from 1 species
AACGAACGCUGGCGGCGUGCCUAACACAUGCAAGUCGAGCGGGAAAGCCCGCAAGGGUGAGUACAGCGGCGCACGGGUGCGUAACACGUGGGUAAUCUGCCCUGAAGCUCGGGAUAACUCGCCGAAAGGCGUGCUAAUACCGGAUGAGACCACGGGAGCCUCGGCUCCUGUGGGAAAAGGUGGCCUCUGUAUACAAGCUAUCACUUCAGGAUGAGCCCGCGGCCCAUCAGCUCGUUGGCGGGGUAACGGCCCACCAAGGCUACGACGGGUAGCUGGUCUGAGAGGACGAUCAGCCACACUGGAACUGAGACACGGUCCAGACUCCUACGGGAGGCAGCAGUGGGGAAUCUUGCGCAAUGGGCGAAAGCCUGACGCAGCAACGCCGCUGUGUGAUGAAGGUCUUCGGAUCGUAAAGCACUGUCGGGAGGGACGAAUAAGGGCCGGGUGAACAAUCCGGUUCGAUGACGGUACCUCCAAAGGAAGCACCGGCUAACUCUGUGCCAGCAGCCGCGGUAAUACAGAGGGCGCAAGCGUUGUUCGGAAUUAUUGGGCGUAAAGCGCGUGUAGGCGGUCUCGCAAGUCGGAUGUGAAAGCCCUCGGCUUAACCGAGGAAGUGCGUUCGAAACUACGAGACUUGAGUACCGGAGA